AGAAAAUCCAAUAGAAAAGCACAUGAAACCUUGUUUCAGAUUCUAAGGUAUCAAGCACGUUGGCGGAGAUAUGUUCGUGAGUGUCCCAAAGAGAAAAGCAAUUUUCCAAAGAGAGAAGCAAUUAUGAUGAAGGAUGCCUUACAUAACUGGGAUGAUGAGCUGCGCUCUGCAUAGAAUAACUGAAGAAUUGCUAUGAAGGGCUGCUCGAAAAAGGGCAGGCAAUUAUAAUAAACACCCUGAUGCCGGAACCACCAGAUUUGAGUUUAGCCUCAAGGUACAUGACCCAGCCUGAUGCUACCCCGCUGAUUCAGCUAGGAAGCCACGAAAGGGCUCAGAAGCGGUUUGAGAGUCUGCGCAGGGCUUCAGGUUUCUCCGAGUUCCGGCCUCCUGAUCACGCGCGUUAUUUUUUGGUUUUUUGUUAUUCAUUUUAUGAGCAGUGUAUCUGCUGGAGGGCCUUGCUUUUCUUAUACAUGAUCUUUCUCUGAAGUCGUAUUUCGCUCCUGCUUGCUCAGCUAGAUUUGGGCCUGAGGGCUCAGUUUAUGUUUCGACCCGUGAGCCAAAAUUUUUGGGUUUGAGUUUCUUUCAGCUUUGCACGGCCCGAGAAAAACUCGGUUCUUGUAAUUUCUUCUCCUGAGUUAGGAAUAAAGAGCACUAUGGUUAUCGAA